CACCUACGACGAGUAUCAGCUCUUCGAGUGCGAAGUUGUGGGCGUGUGAGAGUCUUUAACCGGGCCUCGCUGUUUGCAAUUUUGUGCUUUUUGGGUGUACUUUUUCGUAUGGUAGGCCAACGUCAGUUUUGAUUACCGUAAAAUGAUCGGAGGAAUGUAGCUUCGAUCUCGUAUUGAAGUGCUAUAGCCUCUGGUAGAUGCGGUGACCGAAACUGAGGAUUGCAACGAAUACCCUUUUGGGCUAUCCGUCUGGCCUCUGAAAGUUGCUUAGGUGCCGAAAGCGUGCUUACGGCUAUUUAAGUUGACGGUCAACAGGUUAGAACGUGAUUACAUUCGUUAAGGAGUUUUGACGUAAA
rnacentral:rRNA from 1 species